rfam:Ixodes scapularis strain Wikel colony gcontig_1107729150342, whole genome shotgun sequence.
UCCUGGUUAGCUCAGUUAGUAGAGCGCUCCACUGGAAAUGGAGAGGUCCGUGGUUUGAUACCAGGACCAGGCA